UUUUAAGUUUGUCUUGGUCUAAUAAGAAAAUUUAUAGGCCAAAAUUUGGAGCCCACUUCUUUUACAACCCAAGAAGCCCAAAACAUAGCAAACCCUAGAAAGACUUAAGAAGUAUCUUCUUCUUCAUGGGAGAGGGAGAAGAGCUAACCCUAAGGCCUUCAUCUUCAUCUUCAAGACUAAAACAAAAACCUUACACAACAAUAGAAGACAAUACACGACCAAAACCCUAGACAAAAAAGGUGGAGCGUAUUUGUUUCUGCCUUCUUCUUCAUGAGAAGAUCAAGUUGAACCCUAGGAAGGCUCUAACACCAUAACCCCGCCGGACAGCCACCAAACGACCACCACCCUGAACUCGCCCCGAGACCUACCCUCACUACCAUAACCGCCUGCUCACUCACGCUACAUAGCCAUCUGCCACCCGCUCUUCUUCUUAACCUCGCACUCGCCGGAAAAACCAGUAGCCAUGGCUGCCUACUGACCUCACUCCAAAUGCCCAGAAAUAGAAACCACCGGCCAGAUCUCCUUUCUCCAUCACUCCACAGCCGCAACAAAAACCAGUGCCACCGGACUACCCUUCUCGCCGCUGAACAGCCAUAAACAACCCCUCUCGUUCUUCUUCUUCUUCGACCAACAACAACAAUACAGCCAAAUCCCUCUAUAGACUUUUUGCUGCUUCUUCACAGACACACACACACCCAACACGGUGGAAAACCAAGAUAAAAAUUGUAGUAAUAUCUUGGUUCCUCUUGCUCAAAGUUGGAUUCGGAACAGAGGAGAAGUUGCGGAAUACAGUGAAUUAGUUCCAUCUAAGUAUGGUUUCGUUUCAAAUUUAGAAAUAUUGAUUAAAAAACAAGUUUCGUAUUCUGGAUUUCGUCCAAUAUGGGUUAAAGCCGAGGAGGUGAUCAAAUUUCGGUGUCGAUUUGAAUUCCCGUCCGCGGUUCGUCCAAAUUUUGAGUUCAAAACGCCUUCACAAUUAAAAUUUUCAGAUUCAUUUGAGGUUCAUUUCUCAUUCCUUCUACCUUGUUUUUCUUAACGUCGUGAUUCCGUCAUUUUCUUAGUCUAUCUUUGCUUUGUUUUGUUGAUGGUACGAGUUAGCAGCCGAUGACUCCAUCUCAAAAUUUUGAGUGCUUUGGCGAAAGUAAUUAUACAUUUUGGUGCUGCCUAUUUGUUUGUAUGUUGUUUGGUGAAUCUACAUGAUAGGUUUGAUGGUUAGAAUGUGUGUUAGUCGUCUGUUUCAAUUAUUCACUGAAAGAUAUGUUUUAAGGCAUUUUGACUAUUAUUUUGGUAACUCCAGAGUUAAAAUUAUCUUAUUAAUUAAAUUGGAUGUUCUUAGGCAGUAAAACAAGUAUUAGGCCUUGGGGUUGGAUACAUUGCUCGAAACGGAAAUUAGAAUGUGAUUUUUUUGUUUAGUUUGUUUUAUUGCUUCAAUCGCUAGGAGGCAACACUUGUGUAGGCAAGCUUUAGGAUUUUGUUUGUUUUGAGGCAAGAGGUCAUUCCCGUUGUUAAAUUUAUUCGCGGAACGCCCCAAAGGAUUUGUAUAUAUUUUUAUCCGGGGUAUGGCCAGAAGUAUUUGUAAUUGGAGACGGAAAGUAGAACUCUUAGUAUUUUUAUUUUUAUUUUUACUUUUUAUUUUUCUUAUAUUAGAUGGGAACGACCUCGAACCUCGCGUGUGAUUAUUUUGCUUUUAUGUGUUUUUACCUCAAUUCGAACAUUUUAAUAUCCAACAAGAUCGAGUACGAAACCGUACUAGUUACUAGACUUGGGGAGUGGCUAACACCUUCUUCCCGAGUCAAAUGAACCCCCUUACCUGAAUCUAUGGUGUCGACUUGGUUUUAGAGUCUGAAUUGUUUUAAAAGGAAAAAAUUGUUUUUUAAAAACGGUGACCUGGCACACCGAAAUCAAAUGUCAGGUGGCGACUCUGAGUUUAUUUCCUUUUGAAACACAAUUUUUGUCACUUUCAAAAUUGUGAAAACCCUUUUCAAGCUUUUAUUUAAUCUUUUUAUUUAUUUAAGAGGGUUUUAGUAGAGGCUUGUUUUAAAAAAAAAGGGGUGUGACAGCCACCAUUCCCAUAUGGGCUGGAUCCCUAAUUACAUCUCCAGGACCAGCCUCAGGGUCCACCCUCUCAAAAUUGACGCCCAUUCCUCUAAUUACAGAUGACGAAUCACCCUCUAGAACAUGGGCUGAGCUGAUCUCGGCAGUAGUUUUACUUUGAGGAGCCAACCUCCCUGAACGGAUGGCCUUGUCCAUGAAAACCAGCCUUGGCUCUUGACGAGGCUCGCUAGUCCUCUCAUCUUCAGUAGCUAUCCUCUUACAUGUUAUCAACCGCCGUCUCUUCCUCUCCAGCGACUCCUCGCCGUCUGAAGUCUCCUCCACCGGCUGCGGAGGUGGUACCGAAGGAAGUGCUUCACUUGCAGACACCCCCACAUGCGUAGCCUCCUGCUGAGGGAUCACGGGAACGUCAUCAUAGAACGAGCCGCACGAUAUGUCUUCACCCUCAUAAUUCAUUCCCUGCCCUGGGCGAGGUAACAUCGGCUACUCUCUUCUUCGGGACAUUGCGACCUGCCAACGCAAGUGUUUCAGGUGACAAAACCUAAGGAAGCAUACGAAUCAAAGCCGAAGAGUUACCUAACGGGUUGUACUGUUGACAAAAUGCGGCCCAGGUGCAGCACUCCUCUGCAUAAGGUACCAAUUUCUCCACCCAUGAUUUAAUGUCGUCUAUGGGCUGGGGCGGAGAAGCCCUCACAACAAAAAAGAAGAAGAAGAAGUUACAACGGCCGAACGGUUAAAACAAUAUAGAACCAAGAAUUCCAAAUACAAGGAUACUUACGUUCCCAGUUACACCUUUCAGGGAACCCAUUAGGGUUCGAUACCAGGUGCUCCGUUUUGAUAUAGAAGUACCUCCGCCAGAAGCCACGAUUGGCCUUGUCAUCAGCCUUCACCACCAAACCCUUCGUACCGCGGCUCUUCAGUUGCAAGGCGAUACCCCUCAGGUAACCAGUGCUGAAUAAUUGUAAAAGAUGGUGGACUGAGAUUUCACACUUAGCCAUGUUUGCAUACGUGCUCAGAAUCCUACAAACCUUCAAAUUGUAGGGAGUAAGUUGUCUGCAACAUGGUACCCCUCAAGUAACCAACGCUGAAUAAUUGUAAAAGAUGGUGGACCGAGAUUUUACACUCAGCACUGUCCACAUACGUGCUCAAAAUCCUAUACACCUUCAAAGUGUGGGAGUAAGUUGUGAUGGGCAAAUGUUGAAAAAGCGGCAAAGCUCCUUUUCAAAAGGAUAAAUCGGUAUGAUAUAGACGAUUAGGAAUGGAUACUCGUAAAAGGUGCAAUAUCCGGGUCUAUGCAUAUUAGCCUAAUCCAUUCCAGCCAGAACCAUUUCCACGUGGCUUGGAAUGUUAUGCGCCGCUCGGAGAUUGUCCAAAUGCGGCUGUAAUAACUCACUAUGUUCCCAAGGGAGAGAUGGACUUCUCGUUUGAAAGUCCCGUCGAAUGUGCAUUUCUUUGGGAAGCAUAUUUUCCACUGAGAGGGGAACAAGAGCCUUUUCUGCCUCCUCCUCUUCGCCGCCAGGGGAAGGCGGAACCCUAGAUGGGGCAGCAUCCUUGCUCUUCUUACUACUUUGGCGUUUUACCAUGAUGUUUCGUCUAAGAAAUAAAGUGCUUAUAGCGAGAAAUAAGGCUUCAGAAAGGUGGAAGAGUGUCACACGAAAUAUCAGUUAUUAGAGAGAAAGACAAUGAAGAAAGUCAAAAAAAAAUUUCCAAGGGUUCGAAAGAUGAAUCAUAUUGAACCUUUCCCUCAUUUAUAGGGUUAGGUUGUGCGGAAAUCGAAAAGGCAGGACCAAAUCAGGCGCGGGAAACCAAGACGUCACAUCACCUCCUGAACCAUCUCGGGAAUAAGUGUAAUAAUGACGCAUGCGGGCGAUGACGUCAUCCCAAAAAGGGAGUCACACGUCAACGGAUCAACACCGUUGAGCAUUUCACAUCAUUCCUAUUGCCGCCUGAGUAUAAGGUCAAAAUUCUCCAAAGACGAGGUUCGCAAUUCCAUCCAUUGAAGAUGCCUAUCGAAUGUGCCUCCAACGAAUGGAGGGACUAACUGUAUAAGGUCAAAUUUGACCCUAGACGUCUUUACGCUGAUGGGUACAUCUUUGAGCAUACGUCGACUAAAGUGAGGACAUGACCUGGACGUGGUGACAAAUGCGAUGUCGCUUAAAUAUUCGGCGCCUUCACUUAGAAGAUGCUACCUACUUUUGUACAUUUUUGAUUAUUUCGAGGAAUGUCUCAUGUUAUAUAAAGGAGACCUUAACAUUGUAAAGCGGCAUCAUCAUUAUUCUCGAAUAAUACAACUCUUCUCUAUCUCUCUCUCUCUCUAUUACGAUUGCUCCUCCCUUAAGUUCAUAUUAUCUUUUUAUCUUUCAGAUCUAUAACAACAAUAUCGUCCAUUAACAUCUAUGUCAUAUUAUAUUUUAUUACGAUUUACCCUCAUUUAAUUUUGAUUGUUUUUUAGCUUACAAAGUAUAUCAAUGACUUUUGAGCCAAACAAUAUAUAUAAAUAAAUAAUUUACUAUAUUUAUACAAUAGUAUGAUUUUUUGACCAAAAAAAUCUGAUCCCUCCGAGAGGCGAGAACCCAGCUCCAUCACUGUCCAUGUGAAGACCACGCAAGCUUGACUCCUCGUUGGGGUGACUAUAAGCAAUAAUAGCAGUCUCGGAAUAACCUAUUUUGACCGAUACGUACGUAAAUACAUAAAUAUACACAUGUACAUAUAUAUACACGUAAUAUAUAUACUAAAUAAAGCUAGGCGUGAUGAAUUAUAUCAGGUCCAUCCUGACGGCUGAUUGCCAUUAGCCAGGUUGCCCAAAGGAGGAUAGAGACCCAUCGCUUUAUUGGCGCAUUCACUCAUUUAUAUAAUCGUUUUUGAUGAAUAUGAAAUUUACAAAUAAAAUAAUAAUAUUUAAAAUUUGUUCUUUAUUAAUCAUUACAUUAAAAAUAAAUUAAGGAGUCUAUAAUUAAACUAUUAUUUAAUCUACUAAGAUAUAGGAGUACUUUUUUAUAGAACUGAUUAAAAAGAAAAAAUUAUCACAAAUUAGGACAAUGUCAGAUAAUAUAAAAUAUUAUCUCUUUCAAUUCACUUACCAUUGUUAUGUAAAAUGAUUCUAGAAAUAUAAAUUAAUAUAAACAGAAAUUAUGAUAAAUAGAAAUGACAUAAACAUAAAUGAUCAUAAAUAAUUCGAGCCCUAAUCCCCUUCUAGCACCCAAGGUUAUGGAUUAGUUCCUCCCAGGAUAGAACGAAUUACACACUAGUGUAGUGGUAUUCGAAACGCCAGUGUUUCAGCGAACACAAAGAUCAGUAGCAAAUCACACUUACUUUUUGCUUUGUUUUAUGCUAAAAGUAUGCAGAAGAAGGAGAGAAAACUCAUAAAAUCGUAGUGAAAUUAUAAGCAGAAUAGUGUUGUAUUUAUAGCCAAAAUUUGGGCUGGAAUCUGAAGAGGUGCAAUUCUUUAGAAUGACUGUUUCUGCAAAACUAACACAACAUAAAUGUCAUUACAUAAAUGACUAUUUACUCAACAAAUAAAGAGGAAAAAUUAAUGGGUAGUUAAUUUUCUGUUACAAAAACAGAAAACUGAAAUCUAGAUAACUGAUUUCAAUUUAAUAUUAAUAUUUAUUUGAAUAUUAAUAUUCUGUUAUUAAAAUAAAUACUUAAUAAUAUAUUUCUGUUAAUAUUUUAUUAUUAACAGAUAAAUAUGGUCCAAAAAGUUAAUCAAUCAAUCGAUUGACCAAAUCCGAUUCCGAAGCCGAUGCCGAGCCGAGCGAGCGAGCGACGACGACGGCGCGAGACUUGCUUUCUUCUCAACUCUUUAAGAGCUAGAAGAAGAGCAAUUUCUUAUAAACCCAUAAAAAAUCUCUUUCUCUUUCAAUAUGGGACAAUGUCCAUAUGCCAAGAGAGGGAAACUUGAAAUUUCACUCAAAAGUUUCAUUUCCCUCCAUUUUCUCCAAUAUGGGACCAUGUCCAUAUGCCAAGACUUGAAAUUUCACUCAAAAUUUUUUAUUUCCUCCAUUUUCCAUUCGCCCUCUUUAAGUAUUUAAUAUAUUAAUUAAAUACCUUAAAAACCCAACAAUCCCACACAUGAAUGGGGAAUGACUAUAUCACGGAAGUAUGCUUGAAAAACUAUGUGAUUCGCAAAUAUGGAUUAAUUGCAUAUGGAUAAGUAGGUUUCCCUUUGAACUUUCCGUAAUGAACGUAUGUCGGAUAUACUCGAUCAAUCGGUAGAUUUGAUAUUUUUGAACCGUCGACCUUUGGUGUAUACCUAGACAACCACAAGUCAUACAACUAACCCUUAACCGUCUUUGGUUCUCAUUGUUGUGUUCGUUUCAGCCAUGAAAACCGCCUGGUUUCAUAAGUGCAUAGAGAACUGGUCUUACAAAAUUUUCCUUGAAGCGGCUAACACUUUACACUUACAUAGGUGAUUCUUAUACGUGUCAUCCUGUAUAUACACUAUUUGAUAUACCCCAUAUCAAACUUAGAAAUCAUUAAAAAGCCUUAAUGCUUUAUCCUUUGUACUGAACAUUGUCUCAUCACGAGAAUGGACCAGAAAUUUAAUUGACAAUGUUGAACCGUCAUAAAUAACUUUGUUUGAUCUCCUUGAGCCUAGAUCUUGGGUCUCCAGUCUUCUAGGUAGAGUUACCGCCACUAUGACUUGUUCUUGGUCACAGUCCCAUUCCCCUUGAUGAAUUCUCAACUACAUCUCUAGUUAGGCCUUUUGUAAGUAGAUCUGAUACAUUAUCACUUGACUUUACAUAGUCAAUCGUGAUAAUUCCUCUCGGGAGUAAUUAUCUAACGGUUUUAUGUCUUCGUCGUGUAUGGCGAGAUUUACCGUUAUACAUAACUCUCCCAACCCUUCCAAUUGCCGCUUGACUAUCACAAUGUAUGCAUAUUGGUGCCAAUGAUUUGGGAUAAAAUGGAAUAUCUUCCAAAAAAUUCUGAAGCCAUUCAGCUUCUUCACCGGCUUUAUCCAAGGCUAUAAACUCAGCCUCCAUUGUAGAGCGGGCAAUACAAGUUUGUUUGGACGACUUCCCAGAUACCACUCCUCCACCCAUAGUGAAUACAUAUCCACUUGUGGACUUGGAAUAAGUUGAUCCGGUGAUCCAAUUUGCAAUUGUCAAGACCUAAUUCCCAAAUCCGGUUGUGAUGGCGCCUUUCGUGAAGAUAAGGCCGGCCAUACUGUUUCUGAACAACACUAAAAGCAGUUAGUCAGUUAUAUAAUAGUUUGAAUAUGACUUAAUGAUAUUAAUUAAUAUAAAUACAAUCCAAUAUAGCCCGACCGCCAUGUCACAAGUCACGAGCAUCUAGGAAUGCCUUUAUUAAAAUUUUAAAGGCUAUAAUACCUAGAGUAAAAUCUGAGAAUCAAUAAGAGGAAGAAUCUUGGUGCCGCGAACACCAGCGGUCACCUUGCUUAGCUACGAUAACAAUACCUUCAAUUCGCUACUAACCCGAUUGAACUUAAUUCCCACAAUUAAAUCAGCAACUCCCAAGUCUUUCAUAUCAAACUUGCUAGUUGGCAUACACUUAGUAGCAUUUAUGUUGUCAAUGUCAUUACUCAUUAUGAGCAUAUCAUCCACAUAUACGAAAACAAUGACUAUGUGAUCUGGAAUAUUUUUAAUGUACACACAUUUAUCACAUACAUUUAUCUUAAACCCAUUUGACAAUAUUGUUUGGUCAAAUUUCGCAUACCAUUGUUUGGGUGCUUGUUUUAGUCCGUAAAGGGACUUAACAAGUCUAUAGACCUUCUUUUCUUUACCUGGAACCACAAACCCUUCAUGGGUGCUUGUUUUAGUCCAUAAAGGGACUAACAAGUCUACAGACCUUCUUUUCAUUACCUGAAACCAAAAACCCUUCAGGUUGUCCCAUGUAAAUUUCUUCCUCCAACUCUCCAGUUAAGAAGGCUGUCUUAAUAUCCAUUUGAUGAAUUUGAAGAUCAUAAACUGCAGCUAAUGCUACCAAUAUUCGUAUGGACGUAAUUUUUGUAACUGGAGAGUAUGUAUCAAAAUAGUCAAGACCUUCUUGUUGUCUAUACCCUUUGACUACAAGUCUUGCCUUAUAUUUGUCAAUAGUUCCAUCAUCUUUCAUUUUCCUCUUAAAGAUCCAUUUAGAACCCAACGAUUUAUUUACAGGAGGAAGAUAAACCAAUUCCCAUGUAUGGUUGUUCAGUAUGGAUUCAAUUUCACUAUUGAUUGCCUCUUUCCAGAAGAUCAACCAAUUCCCAUGUAUGGUUGUUCAGUAUGGAUUCAAUUUCACUAUUGGCUGCCUCUUUCCAUAGCAAUGAUUCCGAAGAAGACAUAGCUUCUAUAAAUGUUUAAGGCUCAUUUUCCAAUAAAAACGUCACAAAAUCUGGUCCAAAUGAAAUAUACGUUCUUUGACGUUUACUACGUCUUGGAUUUUCCUGGUUAAGUGUACUUUCUUUUGUUUCUUCCCGAUGUCGUUUAGAUCCUUCACCAGUCAACUCACAUUCCUUUUUAUAUGGAUAUAUAUUUUCAAAGAACUCAACACUAUCUGAUUCUAUAACUGUAUUAUUAUGAAUGUCAGGAUUUUCUGAUUUAUGAACCAGAAAUCGAUAUGCUUUACUAUUAUCCAAUACGAAAGUCACAAAAUCUGGUCCAAAUGAAGUAGACGUUCUUUGACGUUUACUGCAUCUUGGAUCCUCCUGGUUAAGUGUACUUUCUUUUGUUUCUUCCCGAGGUCGUUUAGAUCCUUCACCAAUCAACUCACAUUCCUUUUUGUACGGAUAUAUAUUUUCAAGUUGGGCUUCCUUUCUUUCCUUUCUUUCCAUUUCUCAUAUGGAAUUGAUUAUGUUUUGCUAUGGGGUACUCGAUUUAGUAUUCGGAUAGCCGUAAGAACGGCUUCCCCCCACAAGUUCUGUGGCAAACCAGAACUUAUCAAUAAUGCGUUCAUCAUCUUCUUUAAUGAACGAUUCUUUCUUUCUGCAAUCCCAUUGGAUUGGGGCGUGUAAGGGCCUAUUAUCUGAUAAAUAAUUUCAUAUUUUAAACAUAUUUGUUCAAAAGGACAUUCAUAUUCACCAUCCCUAUCACUUCUUAUCAUUUUUAUUUUCUUGUUAAGUUGUGUUUCAACUCCAUUUUUAUAUUGCUUGAAUGUGUCUAUUGCUUCAUCUUUACUAUUAAGUAAGUAAACAUAGCAAUAUCUAGUACUAUCAUCAAUAAAAGUUAUGAAAUACUUCUUUCCACCGCGAGAUGGUAUUGAUUUCAUGUUACAAAUAUCUAUGUGAAUUAAGUCUAAAGGAUUUGAAUUCCAUUCAACUGAGUUAUAAGGAUGUUUAACAAACUUAGAUUCCACACAUACUUGAAAUUUUGAUUUGUCACAUUCAAAUUUAGGCAAUACUUCCAAAUUAAUUAUUUUUUGCAAUGUUUUAUAAUUAACAUGACCCAAACGUAUAUGCCAUAAUUUAUUUGAAUCAAGUAAGUAAGACGAAGCUGAAACUUUAUUAUUAUUUUCCACAACCAUUACAUUCAUCUUGAAAAGGCCCUCAGUGAGGUAACAUUUUACUACAAAUAUUUCAUUCUUUCUUAUUUCAACCUUAUCAGAAACAAAAACACAUCAAAACCAUUCUUAACAAGAAAUCCUGUAUAGACUAAAUUCUUCCUAAUCUCGGGAAUAUGAAGGACGUUGGUCAAAGUCACCACUUUUCCGGAAGUCAUUUUGAGAAAUAUCUUCCCACAUCCUUCAAUCUUGGCCUUUGCAGCAUUUCCCNNNNNNNNNNNNNNNNNNNNNNNNNNNNNNNNNNNNNNNNNNNNNNNNNNNNNNNNNNNNNNNNNNNNNNNNNNNNNNNNNNNNNNNNNNNNNNNNNNNNNNNNNNNNAGCAAAAGCUUCCUUGACAGCACAAACAUGGCGAGUGGCUCCAGAAUCAAUCCACCACUCUUUAAGAUUGCCCACCAAGUUGCAUUCGGAAAGUAUGGUGCAUAAGUCAUCAACAUCAUCAUAUUUUUCAACUAUGUUUGCUUGACCAUUCUUCUUGUCUUUUUUCGGAGCACGGCACUCCCUAGAUUUGUGUCCAGUUUUUUCGCAGUUGUAGCAGUUUCCGCUGAACCGCUUUUUCUUGUUCUCUUCAACAAUAUUUGUUCCCAUUAUUGUUGAACUUCCACGGCCUCUCUUUUCAGCAUCUUUGUUGUCCUCUUCAAUUCUCAAUCUAACAAUGAGAUCUUCAAUAUGUCUCUCCUUGUGUUUGUAUUUCAAGUAGUUUUUGAAGUCCUUGCACAAAGGAGGCAGCUUCUCAAUCAUUUCUGCUACUUGGAAUGCUUCAUUGAUGACAAGACAUUCAAUGAAAUUUCCGUUAGUAAGAAUACUAAGAUUACUAUUUCAACAUUAACAUUAACUUGAUUCAUACUAUCACAAGACCUUUAAUGAAAUUUCCGUUAGUAAGAAUACUAAGAUUACUACUUUCAACAUCAGUAAUAAUUUGAUUCAUACCAUUAGCAAGGAUAUCGUGAAUAAUCACUUGUAGUUCUUGGACUUGGGUAAUAACAGAUUUGCUAUCUAACAUUUUAUAGUCCAAAAACUUUGCAGCCACAAACUUUUUCAACCCGGCAUCUUCAGUUUUGUACUUCCUUUCAAGCGCAGUCCACAGUUCUUUUGACGUUUCCACACCACUGUAGACAUUAUAUAAAGCAUCCUCCAACCCGCUAAGAAUAUAAUUCUUGCACAAGAAAUCUGAACUUCCACGCCUCAGUUACGAGCAAGCGUUCAUUAUCAGGAGUAUUAUCAGACAGCACAAGAAACAUCUUCCUUGAUGAACUUCUGAAGACUUAAGGUAAACGCCUCAGUUAUGAGAAAGCGUUCAUAUCAGGAGUUUCAUCGGCCAACACAGGAACAUCUUCCUUGAUGAACUUUUGAAGACUUAAGGUAGUCAAAUAGAAGAACAUCUUUUGCUGCCAACGCUUGAAAUCAAUCCCGGAAAAUUUUCUCAGUUAUGAGAAAGCGUUCAUAUCAGGAGUUUCAUCGGCCAACACAGGAACAUCUUCCUUGAUGAACUUUUGAAGACUUAAGGUAGUCAAAUAGAAGAACAUCUUUUGCUGGUAGCAGUUGAAACCAAUCCUGAAAAUAUUUUAGGGUUUCUCCGACGGUGACAAUGCUGCCGGUGUUCGGAUCGUUGAAGCAUUGGCAGUCACCAUAGGAACAACUUGGUUUUUAUUUCCAUUAGUCAUUUUUGUAAAAGAAUGACACCAACGUUAAAAUCACGUAGAUUUUAAUAGAGUACAUGUUGAAACACGUUCUCAAGGCACUAAACUAAACGUGUGUUCAUAUUUGUAGGUUUUGAUAAAUGACAAAUGAUGC
rnacentral:lncRNA from 1 species